GAUGAACGCUAGCUACAGGCUUAACACAUGCAAGUCGAGGGGAAACGACAUCGAAAGCUUGCUUUUGAUGGGCGUCGACCGGCGCACGGGUGAGUAACGCGUAUCCAACCUGCCCACCACUUGGGGAUAACCUUGCGAAAGUAAGACUAAUACCCAAUGACGUCUCUAGAAGACAUCUGAAAGGGAUUAAAGAUUUAUCGGUGAUGGAUGGGGAUGCGUCUGAUUAGCUUGUUGGCGGGGUAACGGCCCACCAAGGCGACGAUCAGUAGGGGUUCUGAGAGGAAGGUCCCCCACAUUGGAACUGAGACACGGUCCAAACUCCUACGGGAGGCAGCAGUGAGGAAUAUUGGUCAAUGGACGGGAGUCUGAACCAGCCAAGUAGCGUGCAGGAUGACGGCCCUAUGGGUUGUAAACUGCUUUUAUAGGGGGAUAAAGUGUGCCACGUGUGGCAUAUUGCAGGUACCCUAUGAAUAAGGACCGGCUAAUUCCGUG
rnacentral:rRNA from 1 species